UAGGGAAUCUUCCGCAAUGGGCGAAAGCCUGACGGAGCAACGCCGCGUGAGUGAUGAAGGUCUUCGGAUCGUAAAACUCUGUUAUUAGGGAAGAACAAAUGUGUAAGUAACUAUGCACGUCUUGACGGUACCUAAUCAGAAAGCCACGGCUAACUACGUGCCAGCAGCCGCGGUAAUACGUAGGUGGCAAGCGUUAUCCGGAAUUAUUGGGCGUAAAGCGCGCGUAGGCGGUUUUUUAAGUCUGAUGUGAAAGCCCACGGCUCAACCGUGGAGGGUCAUUGGAAACUGGAGAACUUGAGUGCAGAAGAGGAAAGUGGAAUUCCAUGUGUAGCGGUGAAAUGCGCAGAGAUAUGGAGGAACACCAGGGGCGAAGGCGACUUUCUGGUCUGUAACUGACGCUGAUGUGCGAAAGCGUGGGGAUCAAACAGG
rnacentral:rRNA from 1 species